rnacentral:tRNA from 1 species
GCCGGGAUGGCGGAAUAGGCAGACGCAUGGGACUUAAAAUCCCAAGGGCUUUUAAAAGCCCGUGCCGGUUCAAGUCCGGCUCCCGGCA